UGCAAGUCGAACGGAGAAUUUAUUUCGGUAAAUUCUUAGUGGCGAACGGGUGAGUAACGCGUGGGCAACCUGCCCUUCAGAUGGGGACAACAUCCCGAAAGGGGUGCUAAUACCGAAUACGAUCACGCUGCCGCAUGGCGGUGUGAUGAAAGAUGGCCUCUAUUUAUAAGCUAUCGCUGAAGGAUGGGCCUGCGUCUGAUUAGCUAGUUGGUGGGGUAACGGCCUACCAAGGCGAUGAUCAGUAGCCGGUCUGAGAGGAUGAACGGCCACAUUGGGACUGAGACACGGCCCAAACUCCUACGGGAGGCAGCAGUGGGGAAUAUUCCGCAAUGGACGAAAGUCUGACGGAGCAACGCCGCGUGAGUGAUGAAGGUUUUCGGACUGUAAAACUCUGUUGUUUAGGACGAAAGUGCCUGUUGCAAAUAGUUGCAGGUAUUGACGGUACUGAACGAGGAAGCCACGGCUAACUACGUGCCAGCAGCCGCGGUAAUACGUAGGUGGCAAGCGUUGUCCGGAAUUAUUGGGCGUAAAGAGCAUGUAGGUGGAUACUUAAGUCUGUUGUGAAAAUGCGGGGCUCAACCCCGUAUUGCGAUGGAAACUGGGUGUCUUGAGUGCAGGAGAGGAAAGGGGAAUUCCCAGUGUAGCGGUGAAAUGCGUAGAUAUUGGGAGGAACACCUGUGGCGAAGGCGCCUUUCUGGACUGUGUCUGACACUGAGAUGCGAAAGCUAGGGGAGCGAACGGGAUUAGAUACCCCGGUAGUCCUAGCCGUAAACGAUGGGUACUAGGUGUAGGGGGUAUCGACCCCCCCUGUGCCGGAGUUAACGCAAUAAGUACCCCGCCUGGGGAGUACGGCCGCAAGGUUGAAACUCAAAGGAAUUGACGGGGGCCCGCACAAGCGGUGGAGUAUGUGGUUUAAUUCGACGCAACGCGAAGAACCUUACCAGGCUUGACAUUGAGUGAAAUGU
rnacentral:rRNA from 1 species